UUCCCAACCAUCCCCUGGGUUCGUCGCGCUGAACGCAACAGCCGCCCACACCAUCCCCUCCGCCCCUGCAACGCACCUCCAGAUCCGGCGGCCGGUGGGCGGUGGCGCCCCCAACCAACGGCGCUGAUAACCUCCGCCAUCUCCGUCCAUCCACCCCGAAACAGCUGCAGGCCUGCGCGAUGUCGGAGUCGGUCGACACGCCCGAGAGCGGCGGCGGGGCCAAGGAGCAGGAGCGGUUCUUGCCGAUCGCCAACAUCGGCCGCAUCAUGCGGCGCGGCGUGCCGGAGAACGGCAAGAUCGCCAAGGACGCCAAGGAGUCCAUCCAGGAGUGCGUCUCCGAGUUCAUCAGCUUCAUGACCAGCGAAGCGAGCGACAAGUGCAUGAAGGAGAAGCGCAAGACCAUCAACGGGGACGACCUCAUCUGGUCCAUGGGCACGCUGGGCUUCGAGGACUACGUCGAGCCCCUCAAGCUCUACCUCAAGCUCUACCGGGAGGUAUUCCCCUUUUCUCCCUCAGCACUCUUCCCCCUCUCUGCUCUGUUCCUAGCACCUCCUGAUGCUACAUGCGAGCUAAUUUUGCACAGAAUGUUUGCGUUACGCAUGUGAGAUGGGAGAAAGGUUUGGUCUUCAGGAUUUCUUGAAUUUUGCCAAUCGGGGCUCUCUAUUAUGGAUGUUUGUCUGCAUUACUUUUAUUGAGUAGGAUGAUGGGCAGGCAAGAUGAGGCUGUUGAGUAGCGUUUGAUUCUUGCUGUAGGAUGCUGCUGGUGUCAUGGUCUGACUGUGCCAAUCAAGGCCUUGACUUUAGUUGGGGUACCACUCACAUGGGUUUAUUGAUUCGCUACUCACUGUGUCGAUGAAUGCUUGAUGGAGUUGUCAACAUCAGGGUAGUGUGGAAGAUCUGUGGAUAAUAAACAUCCUAGAAUUUUUAUUCAAAAUAUGAAUCUUUACACCCGCUGCUUAUGACAAUGAAACACAACCUAAAUCGAUUAAAACUGCCUUAAUUUUGCGACUGGAAGGAUCUGGAUAGUGCAGGCUGUCAAAUGGCCUGGUUAACAAAGACUGCAAAAGGAGUUUUGCCUUCACUCUGCUGACUUAAUGUUCAAAAAAUUUACAGGUUUACCUAAUAUGCCAAAAAAAAAAAGAUGAACAUAGUAUGUUGCAUUCUUGCUGAACUGAAUAUUAGCGUGUGGCCAGAACUACAGAUAUUGCUUGCCGGUUGUGUCAUGAGAAUGAGGUAUAUAGCGAAGUAAUAUAUGGAUCGAACAUAGAACAUGUUUUUUCGUAGAAUUCUUUUGUAAACUUCUCUUUACCAAUAAAGGCCUAGGAGUCUGAAGUAUGCAUCUCUAGGGUUAAAUUUCCUGUGUACGUAUUGACAGUAAAACAAUAACUAAUUCGAUUAAAACUAUCCUAAUUUUGCUAGUGAAAGAAUCUGGAGAAUGCUUGUGGUGAAAUUGCCUUGUUAGCGAAAAUUGUAGCAGCCGAAUUUACCAAAAUUACCAUCUAUACAUUGAUGAACAAAACAUAUGUUGCAUUCUUAUUUGACUGAAUAUUACUGUGUUUGAACUGCAUAAAUUGUAUGCCAAUUGCUUGAUGAGAUAUAUUUAGCAAAAUAACAUGAUGUUAAUUGUUAUGAAAUAUAUAUAGGCCAAACACAGGUCAUGUCUUGUUUUUUUUUCUAGUAGUAUUGUUAAGCGGACUGCUCUUUUCGGUUAGAAUUAUUACUACUUACAUUUUACAGGAAAUAAUUGUGUGCUGACUAGUUUUUUUACUCUUCUUUCAUGAAUAAUGAUGAUUUGUCGUUGAUGACCUGUGAUGUUUAUAAAGAUGGAGGGUGACACAUCGAAGGGUUCGCAGUCAGGAAAGAAAGAGGUUGUACUUAAUGGGCAACCUGGAUCAUCGUUCAACGGCAUGUAAGAUGGAGGAGGAUGAUAUAGUCAGACAUAUCACUCUUUGGAAGCGUGAUGGCGGAACCAUUGUGGUCAGCGAAUGAACCCAAGAACCCUGUUAGUUCUGUACUAUCAGGAUGCUUCCAGUGCUAUCCAUAGAUGUUAGUUGCUCUCUAAGACAGUGUUUGCAUUAGCCGGUAUGUGCAGACCUCUCGUGCAUACGUAGCUCGUAGUUUAGUUCAGUCUCUGCUGUAUGGAUUCAUGUAACCGUAUUACCCAUUUAGGGCUGCCUGGUAUGGUAAAUUCAGAAGAUAUCUUGUAGACCUCAUCUUGCCCCCUUCUACUUUAGGAAGAUCCGAUCAGGUGAGAACUGUAAUAAGUUCGUGAUGCCUGGGUCUUAUGGUUGAACAGGUCUGGAACAAUGUCUUUAGCU